GAGACACGGCCCAGACUCCUACGGGAGGCAGCAGUGGGGAAUUUUGGACAAUGGGCGAAAGCCUGAUCCAGCCAUGCCGCGUGCAGGAUGAAGGCCUUCGGGUUGUAAACUGCUUUUGUACGGAACGAAAAGCCUCUUUCUAAUAAAGAGGGGUCAUGACGGUACCGUAAGAAUAAGCACCGGCUAACUACGUGCCAGCAGCCGCGGUAAUACGUAGGGUGCAAGCGUUAAUCGGAAUUACUGGGCGUAAAGCGUGCGCAGGCGGUUUUGUAAGACAGAGGUGAAAUCCCCGGGCUCAACCUGGGAACUGCCUUUGUGACUGCAAGGCUGGAGUGCGGCAGAGGGGGAUGGAAUUCCGCGUGUAGCAGUGAAAUGCGUAGAUAUGCGGAGGAACACCGAUGGCGAAGGCAAUCCCCUGGGCCUGCACUGACGCUCAUGCACGAAAGCGUGGGGAGCAAACAGGAUUAGAUACCCU
rnacentral:rRNA from 1 species